UGGGGAAUAUUGGACAAUGGGCGAAAGCCUGAUCCAGCCAUGCCGCGUGUGUGAAGAAGGUCUUCGGAUUGUAAAGCACUUUAAGUUGGGAGGAAGGGCAUUAACCUAAUACGUUAGUGUUUUGACGUUACCGACAGAAUAAGCACCGGCUAACUCUGUGCCAGCAGCCGCGGUAAUACAGAGGGUGCAAGCGUUAAUCGGAAUUACUGGGCGUAAAGCGCGCGUAGGUGGUUUGUUAAGUUGGAUGUGAAAUCCCCUGGCUCAACCUGGGAACGUCAUUCAAAAGUGACUGACUAGAGUAUGGUAGAGGGUGGUGGAAUUUCCUGUGUAGCGGUGAAAUGCGUAGAUAUAGGAAGGAACACCAGUGGCGAAGGCGACCACCUGGACUAAUACUGACACUGAGGUGCGAAAGCGUGGGGAGCAAACA
rnacentral:rRNA from 1 species